GCCAACCCAAGGCUACACCCUCAGUUAAUCUGUUCCCACCUUCCUCUGAAGAGCUCAAGACUAAAAAGGCCACACUGGUGUGUAUGAUCACUGAGUUCUACGCAGCUGCUGUGAGAGUGGCCUGGAAGGCAGAUGGUACCCCUUUCACUCAGGGUGUAGAGACUACCCAGCCUCCCAAACAGAGGGACAACAUGGCUAGCAGUUACCUGCUCUUCACAGCAGAAGCGUGGGAAUCUCAUAGCAGUUACAGCUGCCAUGUCACUCAUGAAGGGAACACUGUGGAGAAGAGUUUGUCCCGUGCUGAGUGUUCCUAG